AGUGAACAUGGGGGUGACCACAAGACUGGCAUGGUGAUGCUCCAAUGGGCUGAAGAGAUGGACAUUUACAUUUAACCCAGUCACAUCAGCAAACUUGUCCAAAGAGCAAUCUGUUCUCUGUGACCAGCUUGAACUCCUUUCUGCAAAAGAUGAGCAAUCACUUAUAAAUCAGGGAUAUUUCACAGGCUGGGUCUGGUCCUGGGAGUCUUGAGUGUCUUGGAGUCCAAGAAUAAAUCCACCUCGUUCUACCCCAA